UGGGGAAUUUUGGACAAUGGGCGAAAGCCUGAUCCAGCAAUGCCGCGUGUGUGAAGAAGGCCUUCGGGUUGUAAAGCACUUUUGUCCGGAAAGAAAUCCUUGGCUCUAAUACAGUCGGGGGAUGACGGCACCGGAAGAAUAAGCACCGGCUAACUACGUGCCAGCAGCCGCGGUAAUACGUAGGGUGCAAGCGUUAAUCGGAAUUACUGGGCGUAAAGCGUGCGCAGGCGGUUUGCUAAGACCGAUGUGAAAUCCCCGGGCUCAACCUGGGAACUGCAUUGGUGACUGGCAGGCUAGAGUAUGGCAGAGGGGGGUAGAAUUCCACGUGUAGCAGUGAAAUGCGUAGAGAUGUGGAGCAUACCGAUGGCGAAGCCAGCCCCAUGGCAAUACUGACGCUCAUGCACGAAAGCGUGGGGAGCAAACAGGAUUAGAUACCCUGGUAGUCCACGCCCUAAACGAUG
rnacentral:rRNA from 1 species